rnacentral:rRNA from 1 species
GACGAACGCUGGCGGCGUGCCUAAUACAUGCAAGUAGAACGCUGAAGGAGGAGCUUGCUUCUCCGGAUGAGUUGCGAACGGGUGAGUAACGCGUAGGUAACCUGCCUGGUAGCGGGGGAUAACUAUUGGAAACGAUAGCUAAUACCGCAUAACAGUAGAUGUUGCAUGACAUUUGCUUAAAAGGUGCAAUUGCACCACUACCAGAUGGACCUGCGUUGUAUUAGCUAGUUGGUGAGGUAACGGCCCACCAAGGCAACGAUACAUAGCCGACCUGAGAGGGUGAUCGGCCACACUGGGACUGAGACACGGCCCAGACUCCUACGGGAGGCAGCAGUAGGGAAUCUUCGGCAAUGGACGGAAGUCUGACCGAGCAACGCCGCGUGAGUGAAGAAGGUUUUCGGAUCGUAAAGCUCUGUUGUAAGAGAAGAACGAGUGUGAGAGUGGAAAGUUCACACUGUGACGGUAUCUUACCAGAAAGGGACGGCUAACUACGUGCCAGCAGCCGCGGUAAUACGUAGGUCCCGAGCGUUGUCCGGAUUUAUUGGGCGUAAAGCGAGCGCAGGCGGUUAGAUAAGUCUGAAGUUAAAGGCUGUGGCUUAACCAUAGUACGCUUUGGAAACUGUUUAACUUGAGUGCAAGAGGGGAGAGUGGAAUUCCAUGUGUAGCGGUGAAAUGCGUAGAUAUAUGGAGGAACACCGGUGGCGAAAGCGGCUCUCUGGCUUGUAACUGACGCUGAGGCUCGAAAGCGUGGGGAGCAAACAGG